CCUACGUGUGGCAGCAGUGAGGAAUAUUGGUCAAUGGGCGGAAGCCUGAACCAGCCCAGUAGCGUGCAGGAUGACGGCCCUACGGGUUGUAAACUUCUUUUAUAUGGGAAUAACGCGCCUUACGUGUAGGGCUUUGCAUGUACCGUAUGAAUAAGGACCGGCUAAUUCCGUGCCAGCAGCCGCGGUAAUAAGGCAUGUCCGUGCGUUAUCCGGAUUUUUUGGGGUUAAAGGGCGCGUAGGCCUCAUGUCAAGCGUGCUGUGAAAUGUCCGGGCUCAACCCGGGCCUUGCAGCGCGAACUGGCGUGCUUGAGUCCGCGGAAAGCAGGCGGAAUUCGUCGUGUAGCG
rnacentral:rRNA from 1 species